rnacentral:lncRNA from 1 species
GUGGGGUGGGGGGGGCCGAGCCCGGGCGCGUCCUACCAACCGCGUCCCGCCGCCGACACCGACAUGGCCGCCGCAGGGGAGUUUUACACAGUUCUUCUGACAAGUGCAAGAUAGCCAGUGGGAAUGAGACCUGUAAUUAAUCCACUGAAUGCACAGUGCAAGCAGGACAGCUCUUGGAUGAAAAAGCUCUUCAGCCUCUGUAAGGUCUCUGUCAGAGUCUUGUGGUUCAAAUACUUCAACAAAUUCCAUGUAGUCUAACGGUAUCUUGGGACUGAUAAAGGUUGAUGCCUGGACUGGUUAAAG